UGCAGAUGAUGUAAAAGAAUAUUUGCUAUCUGAAAGAGGGUGAUGACAUUUAAAAAAAAAAAGAUGGGGUUUUACCAUAAUGGCCAGGCU